rnacentral:rRNA from 1 species
ACCCGCUGGAAUUAAGCAUAUCAAUAAGUGGAGGAAAAGAAACCAACAGGGAUUGCCUUAGUAACGGCGAGUGAAGAGGCAACAGCUCAAAUUUUAAAUCUGCCACCGUGCCGAGUUGUAAUUUGCAGAGGAUGUUAUGGAAUCUGUUUGGACUCAAGUCCUUUGGAAAAAGGCGCCAAGGAGAGUGACAGUCUCGUACUUUCCAAUACAUUUUCCAUGUAUAACUCCUUCAAAGAGUCGAGUUGUUUGGGAAUGCAGCUCUAAGUGGGACGUAAAUUUGUUCCAAAGCUAAAUACCGGCUAGAGACCGAUAGCGCACAAGUAGAGUGAUCGAAAGAUGAAAAGCACUUUGAAAAGAGAGUUAAAAAGCACGUGAAAUUGUUGAAAGGGAAGCUUAUGUCAUCAGAAAUGGUGUCGUUGUUCAGCCUUUUGGUGUAUUCAAUGAUAACCAUGCUAGCAUCAGUUUGAAUAGCUGGAUAAAAACUCGGAAAUGUAGCUCUCUCGGGAGUGUUAUAGUUCGGGAUAGAAUGCAGCUCAUUUAGACUGAGGACCGCUUUAAGGAUGCUGGCAUAAUGGUGGCAUGAGGCCCGUCUGAAAACACGGA